AAAACUUUUUUAGCUAGAGUGUGAUAGAGGAAAGUGGAAUUUCUAGUGUAGAGGUGAAAUUCGUAGAUAUUAGAAAGAACACCAAAUGCGAAGGCAACUUUCUGGAUCACUACUGACACUGAGGAGCGAAAGCAUGGGUAGCGAAGAGGAUUAGAUACCCUCGUAGUCCAUGCCGUAAACGAUGUGUGCUAGACGUUGGAAGCAUAGCUUUCAGUGUCGCAGCGAAAGCAUUAAGCACACCGCCUGGGGAGUACGACCGCAAGGUUAAAACUCAAAGGAAUUGACGGGGGCCCGCACAAGCGGUGGAGUAUGUGGUUUAAUUCGAUGCAACGCGAAGAACCUUACCAGGGUUUGACAUCCUGCGAAUCUCUUGGAAACGAGAGAGUGCCUUCGGGAACGCAGUGACAGGUGCUGCAUGGCU
rnacentral:rRNA from 1 species